rnacentral:rRNA from 1 species
UACGGAGGAUGCGAGCGUUAUCCGGAUUUAUUGGGUUUAAAGGGUGCGUAGGCGGUUUAUUAAGUCAGUGGUGAAAGUUUUCGGCUCAACCGGAAAAUUGCCAUUGAAACUGAUAGACUUGAGUGUAAACGAGGUAGGCGGAAUUCGUGGUGUAGCGGUGAAAUGCUUAGAUAUCACGAAGAACUCCAAUUGCGAAGGCAGCUUACUAGGCUACAACUGACGCUGAAGCACGAAAGCGUGGGGAU